rnacentral:rRNA from 1 species
CCUACGGGUGGCAGCAGUGGGGGAUAUUGCACAAUGGGGGAAACCCUGAUGCAGCGACGCCGCGUGGGUGACGAAGCGCCUCGGCGCGUACAGCCCUGUCAGCAGGGAAGAAAAUGACGGUACCUGAAGAAGAAGCCCCGGCUAACUACGUGCCAGCAGCCGCGGUAAUACGGGGGGGGCAAGCGUUAUCCGGAUUUACUGGGUGUAAAGUGGGCGCAGGCGGCGAUGCAAGCCAGGAGUGAAAGCCAGGGGCACAACCCCGGGACUGCUCUUGGAACUGCGUGGCUAGAGGGCAGGAGGGGCAGGCGGAAUUGCUGGUGUAGCGGUGAAAUGCGUAGAGAUCAGGAGGAACACCGGUGGCGAAGGCGGCCUGCUGGACUGCAACUGACGUUGAGGCCCGAAAGCGUGGGGAGCAAACAGGAUUAGAUACCCUUGUAGUC